rnacentral:lncRNA from 1 species
CUAUGACAGACAAGGCAAGCUCUACUCUCAGAAGCAAAAAUUAUAUAUCUAGGAGUCAGAGUAUGAAUCAAGAAGAAUGGACUUCUGCUUCUUAUCUACCUAAUGCCAGCACUCUGGCAGGCUAUGUUUCCUGGCACUGGGGUUUUGAAUGAGGAAGAAUUGCUUCCAAGCACAGUGCCCUGAGGAAAAGACCACAACCUCUACUUUAUUGUCUCUUCUUAACAACAUUUACAAUUUUUUUUUUCUCCUGCUGUUGAGGGACAAAGAGCAAAGCAACUCUGCUAAGAACGUGACAGUUACAGUUCACAUUCAACCUGCUGCCGACCUGUUUUCAGAUAUUAAAACCCUUUGGCUCAUCCUGUCCACUCCCUACUAUGUGUAGUUUACACUGGAAAAAGAAGGCUUCAAAGUGUGUCAAGAGUUAACACCUCAAGACAAUCACCACUUGGCUCUUUGAGAGCUAUCUGCCAGGAGGAGCCUCAUAGCUUGAUAGAUACACUGCAAUUUUUCAUCUUUUCAGCCAGGGUGAAUUUUGCUUUUUGACUAUGGCUUUUGGAUUUCCAAGAACAGAGAGUUGAAGCUUGUAUCUACACAAGGCUACUAAAGCACUCUAUUUGUCAGAUGUUUCAAAGAAAGCACAAGCAACAACAACAAAAAAGAUGAAUAAACUGGAUUUCAACAAAAACACAUUUGUGCUUCAGAGAACAUAAUCAAGAAAGUGAAAAGGCAACCCACCAAUGGGAGAACACAGUUUCAAAACAUAUAUCUAAUAAAAUAUUUGAGUCCAGAUU